GAUGAACGCUGGCGGCGUGCCUAAUACAUGCAAGUCGAGCGAACAGACGAGGAGCUUGCUCCUCUGACGUUAGCGGCGGACGGGUGAGUAACACGUGGAUAACCUACCUAUAAGACUGGGAUAACUUCGGGAAACCGGAGCUAAAACCGGAUAAUAUAUUGAACCGCAUGGUUCAAUAGUGAAAGACGGUUUUGCUGUCACUUAUAGAUGGAUCCGCGCCGCAUUAGCUAGUUGGUAAGGUAACGGCUUACCAAGGCAACGAUGCGUAGCCGACCUGAGAGGGUGAUCGGCCACACUGGAACUGAGACACGGUCCAGACUCCUACGGGAGGCAGCAGUAGGGAAUCUUCCGCAAAGGGCGAAAGCCUGACGGAGCAACGCCGCGUGAGUGAUGAAGGUCUUCGGAUCGUAAAACUCUGUUAUUAGGGAAGAACAAAUGUGUAAGUAACUAUGCACGUCUUGACGGUACCUAAUCAGAAAGCCACGGCUAACUACGUG
rnacentral:rRNA from 1 species